rfam:Pan troglodytes isolate Yerkes chimp pedigree #C0471 (Clint) chromosome 2B, whole genome shotgun sequence.
GCUGGGUGUGGUGGCUCACACCUGUAAUCCCAGCAUUUUGGGAGGCUGAGGCAGGAGGAUCACUUGAGCCCAGGAGUUUAAGACCAACCUGGGCAACAAAGUGAGACCCUGUCUCAA